rnacentral:rRNA from 1 species
ACUGGGAUAACUUCGGGAAACCGUAGCUAAUACCGGAUAAUAUUUUGAACCGCAUGGUUCAAAAGUGAAAGACGGUCUUGCUGUCACUUAUAGAUGGAUCCGCGCUGCAUUAGCUAGUUGGUAAGGUAACGGCUUACCAAGGCAACGAUGCAUAGCCGACCUGAGAGGGUGAUCGGCCACACUGGAACUGAGACACGGUCCAG